AGUGAACGCUGGCGGCGUGCUUAACACAUGCAAGUCGAACGAGGACGGAUUAUAGCUUGCUAUAAUUGUCAGCUAAGUGGCGCACGGGUGAGUAAUGUAUAGGUAAUAUGCCUCUUACUAAGGGAUAACAAAUGGAAACGUUUGCUAAUACCUUAUACUCCUUAUUAACAUAAGUUAAUAAGGGAAAGAUUUAUUGGUAAGAGAUUAGCCUGUAUUGUAUCAGUUAGUUGGUGGGGUAAUGGCCUACCAAGACUAUGACACAUAACUGGUUUGAGAGGAUGAUCAGUCACACUGGAACUGAGACACGGUCCAGACUCCUACGGGAGGCAGCAGUGGGGAAUAUUGCACAAUGGACGAAAGUCUGAUGCAGCAACGCCGCGUGGAGGAUGACACAUUUCGGUGCGUAAACUCCUUUUAUAUGAGAAGAUAAUGACGGUAUUAUAUGAAUAAGCACCGGCUAACUCCGUGCCAGCAGCCGCGGUAA
rnacentral:rRNA from 1 species